rnacentral:misc_RNA from 1 species
GAAAUGCGAUAAGUAAUGUGAAUUGCAGAAUUCAGUGAAUCAUCGAAUCUUUGAACGCACAUUGCGCCCGCCAGUAUUCUGGCGGGCAUGCCUGUCCGAGCGUCAUUUCAACCAUCUAGCCCCCGGGCUUGUGUUGGGGACCUGCGGCUGCCCGCAGGCCCUGAAAACCAGUGGCGGGCUCGCUGUCACACCGAGCGUAGUAGCAAUCACCUCGCUCAGGGCGUGCUGCGGGUUCCGGCCGUUAAACAGCCUUACAAAACCCAAGGUUGACCUCGGAUCAGGUAGGAAGACCCGCUGAACUUAAGC